rnacentral:lncRNA from 1 species
AAUAGAACGGUGAACACAUCGGUAAAAAAAUUACAUGAAACGGGAAACAGAAAGGGGUUCAUCGGAGGAGAUUCCAGGUUUUGCCCGCGGCAGCACUGCAGAGCUUCGCCCACAAUUUUUAGCUCAACCACCAUCAUUUUUGCUCUGAUUUGGCGAUAGAUGUGCUUGAAAUCAAACUUCAAGUGAAUAGGAGAAUUUUUACUUCUUUUGGCGAUUGGAGGUGGCUCCGGUGCGGUAGCAGUCGAUGGUCGGCUUCCUUCUUCGGCGACUGAUUUUUCUUCUUUGGUGGGAGGCUGGUGGAUAGGGUUUGGGUUCAAUGUGAUGCAAAAUAUUUAUACCCAUCUUACGUUAAUCUAGAACAUUCAUUGUAUUUGAUCUCGACCGUCCAAUUGCAUUUAAAGAAAAAAUAAAUUUAGAUCGUUUAUCGUGAUUUGAUCUCGACCGUCCAAUAUCGUUUAAGGGAGGAACAAAUUCAGGUCAUCCACGCGCACGAGAUCAAUCUGGACCUUUCGAUCCUGGGGCACGCAAAUCACUCGCAUUGCAUCUUGCAUGGCAUCGAUGUCAGCGUGCCUUACCAAGCAGCAUGCUCCGGUUCGUGGGAGUUGCUGUGUAACACAAAAAAUUAUUUUUU